GAGUUUGAUCCUGGCUCAGAACGAACGCUGGCGGCGUGCCUAACACAUGCAAGUCGAACGUGAUCCAGAGCUUGCUCUGGUGAAAGUGGCGCACGGGUGAGUAACGCGUGGAUAACCUACCCUGGUAUCCGGGAUAACAUUCCGAAAGGGGUGCUAAUACCGGAUAAGCCCACGGGCUCUUUGAGCUUGCGGGAAGAGGUGGCCUCUAUUUAUAAGCUACUGUGUCAGGAUGGGUCCGCGUACCAUUAGCUAGUUGGCGGUGUAACGGACCACCAAGGCGACGAUGGUUAGCUGGUCUGAGAGGAUGAUCAGCCACACUGGAACUGAGACACGGUCCAGACUCCUACGGGAGGCAGCAGUGGGGAAUUUUGCGCAAUGGGGGAAACCCUGACGCAGCAACGCCGCGUGAGUGAUGAAGGCCUUUGGGUCGUAAAGCUCUGUCAGAGGGGAAGAAAUGAUAUAGUGCUAAUACCACUUUAUCUUGACGGUACCCUCAAGGGAAGCACCGGCUAACUCCGUGCCAGCAGCCGCGGUAAUAC
rnacentral:rRNA from 1 species